GGAUGUGAGGGCGAUCUGGUUGCGACAUCUGUCACCCCAUUGAUCACCAGGGUUGAUUCGGUUGAUCUGGCUGGCUAGGCGGGUGUCCCCUUCCUCCCUCACCACUCCAUGUGCGUCCCUCCUGAAGCGCUAGGUCAAAGAGAAUGACCCUCCCUUAAUAGAGGAGGACCGGUCUUCGGUCAAGAGUAUACGAGCAGCUGUGCUCCCCUGCUAAAACCUCCAAAUAAGCUCUAAAGAAAUCCUGUCUCUGCCUCAGGAGUUCUGGAAUUAAAGGCAUGUACUACAGUGCCCAGCUCUAAUACUUGUUCAACUAAUCUUU
rnacentral:snRNA from 1 species